GAUGAACGCUGGCGGCGUGUCUAAUACAUGCAAGUCGAGCGAAUGGAUUAAGAGCUUGCUCUUAUGAAGUUAGCGGCGGACGGGUGAGUAACACGUGGGUAACCUGCCCAUAAGACUGGGAUAACUCCGGGAAACCGGGGCUAAUACCGGAUAACAUUUUGAACCGCAUGGUUCGAAAUUGAAAGGCGGCUUCGGCUGUCACUUAUGGAUGGACCCGCGUCGCAUUAGCUAGUUGGUGAGGUAACGGCUCACCAAGGCAACGAUGCGUAGCCGACCUGAGAGGGUGAUCGGCCACACCGGGACUGAGACACGGCCCAGGCUCCUACGGGAGGCAGCAGUAGGGAAUCUUCCGCAAUGGACGAAAGUCUGACGGAGCAACGCCGCGUGAGUGAUGAAGGCUUUCGGGUCGUAAAACUCUGUUGUUAGGGAAGAACAAGUGCUAGUUGAAUAAGCUGGCACCUUGACGGUACCUAACCAGAAAGCCACGGCUAACUACGUGCCAGCAGCCGCCGUAA
rnacentral:rRNA from 1 species